rnacentral:rRNA from 1 species
GGGCACCACCAGGGGGUGCAGCUGCGGCUUAUUUGACUCAACACGGCAAAUCUCACCAGGCCCGGACACCGAAAGGAUUGACAGAUUAACAGCUCUUUCUUGAUUCGGUGGGUGGUGGUGCAUGGCCGUUCUUAGUUGGUGGAGCGAUUUGUCUGGUUAAUUCCGGUAACGAACGAGACUCUAGCCUGCUAAAUAGGCGUCGCCAUUUAGGUGUGCUCGACUUCGGUCGUGCAACUCACUGGCGACGUAUUAAAAUUCUUCUUAGAGGGACCGGCGGCUUCGAGCCGCACGAGAUUGAGCAAUAACAGGUCUGUGAUGCCCUUAGAUGUCCUGGGCCGCACGCGCGCUACACUGAAGGAAUAA